AUGGCCUCCCCACCGGGCCCCGCCCGCCUCGCCGCCCUGCUGCUCCUUGCGCUCCUCGCCGGGCCCGCCGCGUCCCGCUUCGCCCCGGCGGACAACCACCUCAUCGCCUGCGGCGCGACGGCCCCGGCCGUCCUCCCCGACGGCCGCCGCUUCGUCCCGGACUCCGGCUGCGCCUCCAUGACCCUCCGCUCCGCGGCGCCCGCUCUCCCGUCCGCCGCCCCCGGCGCGCCCGCGCCCGCGCCGCCCUCCCCUCUCCACGCCGCCGCGCGCGUCUUCUCCUGCCACGCCUCCUACGACCUCGCCGUGCGCCGCCGCGGGCGCCACGUCCUGCGCCUCCACUUCUACCCCUUCAGCCCCGCCCUCGCCUCCGCGUGCUUCCACGUCGGCGCCGGGGGCUUCCUCCUCCUCCACAACUUCACCGCCCCGUCCCCCGUCGUCAAGGACUUCCUGCUCCCCGUCGACGCCGACGUCCUCGUCCUCACCUUCGUCCCCGAGGCCGGAUCCGCCGCCUUCGUCAACGCCAUCGAGCUCUUCUCGGCGCCCGACGAGCUCGUCGGCGACAUCGGCACCCUCGUCGCCGCUGCCGGCGUCAACCGCACCGACGGGCUAUCCUCGCAGGUCUUCGAGACGCUCUACCGGAUCAACGUCGCCGGCCGCAAGGUCACCCCGUUCAACGACACGCUGUGGCGGACAUGGGUCAACGACGAGGGCUUCCUCGUCAGCAAGGAAUCGUCCAGCAGCAAGGCAUGGUCAUUCGGUGGCCGGAUUGCUUACCCCAAGGACAGCAGGUUGAUGACCCGGGAGGUGGCUCCGGACAACGUCUACAACUCGGCGAGGUCGGUGAGGUCCGACGGCAAUUUGACAUGGGAUUUCCCUGUGCCCGCUCGCAACCGGUACCUUGUGCGCAUGCACUUCUGUGAUAUUGUGAGCAAGGCAUUGUAUCAGCUCUACUUCAGUAUCUAUGUCAAUGGUCAUCUCGCAGCGAAGGAUUUUGACAUUUCCAGCACCACUGGAUACUUGGCCUAUCCGUAUUACAUCGACUAUGUUGUGGACGUUGACGAUGAAGGGAUGCUGAAACUGGCCAUCGGUGGCUCGAAGAUGAGCCGACCUGGAGAGGCGAGCGGUUUCCUGAAUGGGCUGGAGAUAAUGAGGAUGAACAAAACGGGUGGCGGCAUGGACGUGGAUUUCCCUGCUGUUCUGGACAUGGGGUACCUGGUCAGUAAGGGGUUUGGGGAAUUCGCUCGCUCACUGCUGUGUGGUUUAGUCUUCGCCGGGCUGUUUUUGGUUUUUGUCAUGCUGGUGCUGAGGUUGAGGACUGAGCUGAAAAAUAAUGGCACGCUUUGGUUCAGCCAGUCAAUGGAUUCUGGUGACGGGAAGUUGGCUAAAGCAUAUCAGCUUGUGCCCACCAAGACAGACUAUUAA
rnacentral:rRNA from 1 species